CAGCUCUAGAUUACCCGUAAAAACGGACUCUUAAUCCGUAGGUCGAGUGUUCGAGUCACUCAGGGCCCACCA
rnacentral:tRNA from 1 species